GAUGAACGCUAGCGGCAGGCCUAAUACAUGCAAGUCGAACGGUAACAUGAGAGCUUGCUCUUGAUGACGAGUGACGCACGGGUGCGUAACGCGUAUGCAACCUACCCUUUACAGGGGGAUAGCCCGGAGAAAUUCGGAUUAAUACCCCAUAGUACUAUAAUGUAGCAUUAUAUAAUAGUUAAAGAUUUAUUGGUAAAGGAUGGGCAUGCGUGACAUUAGUUAGUUGGUAAGGUAACGGCUUACCAAGACUAUGAUGUCUAGGGGUUCUGAGAGGAAGAUCCCCCACACUGGUACUGAGACACGGACCAGACUCCUNACGGGAGGCAGCAGUAGGGAAUAUUGGUCAAUGGACGAGAGUCUGAACCAGCCAUGCCGCGUGCAGGAAGACGGCCUUCUGGGUUGUAAACUGCUUUUAUAUAGGAACAAAUAGACCAUGCGUGGUAAGUUGAGUGUACUAUAUGAAUAAGNACCGCUAACU
rnacentral:rRNA from 1 species